CAUUGGCCGAUUGAUCGAAAAGGGCGGGGGCUAUGGGCAGCAGUUGUGAAGGGGGCGCGGGACAGCUGCUCAGCACAGAGCAGGGAGGGAGGGGGUGUCCUGGGAUAUCUGGGAGGAUAAAGGGCGAUGACCACACCGGCAGGCUCGGGCGCAGGCUUCGGCUCCGUGUCCUGGUGGGGCCUGUCCCCAGCGCUGGACCUGCAGGCUGACAUCUUGCCAGGUCCUCCCGUGGACCCAGACUCGGAGGCCAAUACAGAGCACGAGAUCCCCGAGCUAGAUGUACUGCUGCUGGGAUCCGUCGAUGGGCGGCACCUGCUGCGAACCCUGGCCAGGGCGGCCCUCUGGCCUCGGAGAAGGUUCCGCUUCUAUGUGCUGGAGAAUAAUCUGGAAGCUGUGGCCCGACACAUGCUGAUCUUCAGCCUAGCCCUGGAGGAUCCUGAGAAGAUGGGGCUGCAAGAGAGGAGUGAGACCUUCCUGGAGGUGUGGGGGAACGCGCUGCUGCGCCCCGCGGUGGCCACCUUCGUGUGCGCCCAGGCCGACCGCCUGGCGCACCUGGUGCCGGAGCCCGACCGCCUGGCGGAGCAGCUGCCCUGGCUCAGCCUUGGCGCCCUCAAGUUCCGCGAGCGCGACGCGCUGGAGGCCAUAUUCCGCUUCUGGGCUGGCGGGGAGAAGGGGCCCGAGGCCUUCCCCAUGAGCCGCCUCUGGGACUCGAGGCUGCGCCACUACCUGGGCUCCCGCUACGACGCCCGGCGCGGUGUCAGCGACUGGGACCUGCACAUGAAGCUGCACGACCGCGGGGCCCGAGUCAUCCACACUCGCGAGUUUAGGCGCUGGAGGGACACAGGCGUCGCCUUUGAACUCAGAGACUCCAGUGCCUACCACGUGCCCAACCGGACCCUGGCGUCCGGUCGCCUCCUGAGCCACCGCGGGGAGCGCGUGGCGGCGCGUGGGUACUGGGGGGACAUCGCCACGGGGCCCUUUGUGGCCUUCGGCAUCGAAGCUGACGACGAAAGCCUCCUGCGGACCAGCAACGGGCAGCCUGUCAAGUCCGCGGGCGAGAUCACGCAGCACAACGUGACGGAGCUGUUCCGCGAGGUGGCCGCCCGGGGGCGCCCGAGAGCCGGCCAGGGAGCCCCCGAGGAGGAGGCGCGAUGUGACGGAGGUGGCACCCGGGAGCCCGCCCCCGGCCCGGAAUCCUUCACUGUCCACUUCCUGCCCCUCGGUUCUGCCCAGACCCUCCACCAUAAGAGCUGCUACAAGGGACGGUUCCAGCUUCUCUACGUGUCCUGUGGGAUGGUCCAUCUUCUCAGCCCUGAGCUCGGGGCCUGCGUGGCCCCCCGAGGACACCUGAUUGUGGAAUUAGCCCGGUAUCUGGUGGACCUGCGGCAGGAGCAGCUCCGGGGGUUCUCCACCCGGGUCGAGGAGCUAGCUCAGGCGGCUGGAUUCGCCCCACAGCCUGGGGCCAGGUCGUCGGAGACCUUUGCGCGCUUCUACAAGUCCGAGGACUCUGUUCCCGGCUGCAUUGACCCAGCUGUGGAAUCCGGCACUCUGACCCCAGAAGCACUGGGCCCGCCCCCAGAAGCACUGGCCCCGCCCCUUCAGACAAUGAUCCCUCCCUCUGAGGACCUGACCCAGGCCCUUGAAGGCCAGACCCCACCUUCUGAACCCCUUAAGCUGCCCUCAGAGUCUCAGGUUUCACUCUCGCAGGUUCUGGCUCCGCCCACAGGGCGUCAGACCCCCAAACCAGAGAGUCUGAUCUGACCCCCAGAGACCACGUCCCCCAUCUCUGCCUUCUAAAGUUAGGCCCUGGAAUUAGAACCCGCCUCUAGAAUACUCAGUUAUACUCUCAACAUUCCCACUCAGCCCCAGAAGUGUUCCUAGAAUUUCAGAUUCCAUUCCCUGGAUUCCAUAUUCUAUUCCUGGAAUUCUAGAUUGUUCUCUCAGAGUUCUGCAUUCCACUCCUGGGACUCUAAGUGUAGCCUAGAGAUCUGGCCCAAGGUCUCAGCUCCUCUGCGUGCAUCCCCUUGUCCCCAGGAGUCCCGUUCCUAACUGGAGGUUGGGGGUGUCUCCAUUCCUGGGGCUGGUGAGCACCCACGAAGUCCCAGUAAAAGAGCCAGUGUCCUCAGUGAAGCUUGGGCAGACCGGACAAGACCGAAGUCCCGGGUUCCUUCAAGGUCACCCCGGACGCCCUCUCACUGGCCCUCCAAGAGCCCCUUGCCCCUUCUCUGCCUCCUGCAACUCCUGGCCUGAG